rnacentral:rRNA from 1 species
GACAGAGGGGGCAAGCGUUGCUCGGAAUUACUGGGCGUAAAGGGCGCGUAGGCGGGAUGGCAAGUCGGUCGUGAAAUCCUUCGGCUCAACCGAAGAACGUCGGCCGAUACUGCUGUUCUUGAGGGAUGCAGAGGAGAUUGGAAUUCCCGGUGUAGCGGUGAAAUGUGUAGAGAUCGGGAGGAACACCGGUGGCGAAGGCGGGUCUCUGGGCAUCUCCUGACGCUGAGGCGCGAAAGCGUGGGGAGCAAACGGG